rnacentral:rRNA from 1 species
AUUGAACGCUGGCGGCAGGCCUAACACAUGCAAGUCGAACGGUAACAGGAAGAAGCUUGCUUCUUUGCUGACGAGUGGCGGACGGGUGAGUAAUGUCUGGGAAACUGCCUGAUGGAGGGGGAUAACUACUGGAAACGGUAGCUAAUACCGCAUAACGUCGCAAGACCAAAGAGGGGGACCUUCGGGCCUCUUGCCAUCGGAUGUGCCCAGAUGGGAUUAGCUAGUAGGUGGGGUAACGGCUCACCUAGGCGACGAUCCCUAGCUGGUCUGAGAGGAUGACCAGCCACAAUGGAACUGAGACACGGUCCAGACUCCUACGGGAGGCAGCAGUGGGGAAUAUUGCACAAUGGGCGCAAGCCUGAUGCAGCCAUGCCGCGUGUAUGAAGAAGGCCUUCGGGUUGUAAAGUACUUUCAGCGGGGAGGAAGGGAGUAAAGUUAAUACCUUUGCUCAUUGACGUUACCCGCAGAAGAAGCACCGGCUAACUCCGU